UACAGAGGUCUCAAGCGUUGUUCGGAUUCAUUGGGCGUAAAGGGUGUGUAGGUGGCGCCGUAAGUCGGGUGUGAAAUUUCGGAGCUUAACUCCGAAACUGCAUUCGAUACUGCGGUGCUUGAGGACUGGAGAGGAGACUGGAAUUCAUGGUGUAGCAGUGAAAUGCGUAGAUAUCAAGUGGAACACCAGUGGCGAGGGCGAGUUCCUGGACACUUCCUGACACUGGAGGCACGAAAGCUAGGGGAGCAAACGGGG
rnacentral:rRNA from 1 species